rnacentral:lncRNA from 1 species
GGUACUCCAUGUAGUCUGACUAUCUCUAAAAUAUACAACUCAGCCAACUUGUCAAGUGAAUAAUCCAUGCAAACUGGAAUUAAAUGAGCCGACUUUAUUAGCUUAUCAAUCACAACCCAUACUGCAUCUUUUUUCUCGGUGUCAACGACAAUCCUGUCACAAAAUCCAUGGCAGCUCAGUCCCAUUUCCACUCAAGAACUAAACAGGCUGCAAUAAACCUAAAGGUACCUGACGUUUGACUUUUACCUAAUGACAGAUCAAGCAUCUACAAACAAACUCUGAGAUAUCUC